UGAAGAAUUUGUCCAACGGCGGGGGAUAGCCGGCCCAACAGCCGGGUAAUACCGCGUACGACCCUCGGGGGCAUCCCCUGAAGGUGAAAGCAGCAAUGCGCCGAUGGAGUGCCUCGCGGCCUGUCAGCUAGUUGGUGAGGUAACGGCUCACCAAGGCGACGACGGGUANCUGGUCUGAGAGGAUGGCCAGCCACAUUGGGACUGAGACACGGCCCAGACCUCCGUACGGGGAGGNAGCG
rnacentral:rRNA from 1 species